rnacentral:rRNA from 1 species
GAUGAGCGCUGGCGGCGUGCCUAAUACAUGCAAGUCGAGCGAACUGAUUAGAAGCUUGCUUCUAUGACAUUAGCGGCGGACGGGUGAGUAACACGUGGGCAACCUGCCUGUAAGACUGGGAUAACUUCGGGAAACCGAAGCUAAUACCGGAUAGGAUCCUCUCCUUCAUGGGAGAUGAUUGAAAGAUGGUUUCGGCUAUCACUUACAGAUGGGCCCGCGGUGCAUUAGCUAGUUGGUGAGGUAACGGCUCACCAAGGCAACGAUGCAUAGCCGACCUGGGAGGGUGAUCGGCCACACUGGUACUAGGACACGGCCCAGACUCCUACGGGAGGCAGCAGUAGGGAAUCUUCCGCAAUGGACGAAAGUCUGACGGAGCAACGCCGCGUGAGUGAUGAAGGCUUUCGGGUCGUAAAACUCUGUUGUUAGGGAAGAACAAGUACGAGAGUAACUGCUCGUACCUUGACGGUACCUAACCAGAAAGCCACGGCUAACUACGUGCCAGCCGCCGCCGUAAUAC